GUGGGGCAAGAUGGCGGCGCACCUGUCCUACGGACGAGUGAACCUGAACGUGCUGCGCGAGGCGGUGCGUCGCGAGCUGCGCGAGUUCCUGGACAAGUGCGCGGGAAGCAAGGCAAUAGUUUGGGACGAGUACCUCACAGGACCAUUUGGCCUGAUUGCACAAUAUUCAUUACUGAAGGAACAUGAAGUGGAAAAAAUGUUCACACUUAAAGGAAGUCGUUUGCCCACAGCUGAUGUCAAGAAUAUUAUCUUCUUUGUCAGACCCAGGCUAGAACUGAUGGAUAUAAUUGCCGAAAAUGUGCUCAGUGAAGACAGACGUGGUCCAGCAAGAGAUUUCCACAUUUUGUUUGUGCCGCGACGUAGUUUACUGUGCGAACAGCGGUUGAAGGAUCUGGGUGUUCUGGGAUCCUUUAUUCAUAGGGAGGAGUACAGCCUCGACCUCAUUCCAUUUGAUGGGGAUCUCUUAUCCAUGGAAUCGGAGGGUGCAUUCAAAGAGUGCUACCUGGAGAGUGACCAGACGAGCCUCUACCACGCAGCCAAGGGGCUCAUGACUCUGCAGGCUCUGUAUGGGACAAUCCCCCAGAUCUUUGGGAAAGGAGAGUGUGCCAGGCAAGUGGCCAAUAUGAUGAUCAGGAUGAAGAGAGAGUUUACAGGAAGCCAAAAUUCAAUAUUUCCUGUUUUUGAUAAUCUCUUGUUGCUCGAUCGAAACGUGGACUUAUUAACGCCUCUCGCCACUCAGCUUACAUAUGAAGGACUCAUUGAUGAAAUUUAUGGCAUUCAGAACAGUUAUGUGAAAUUACCUCCGGAGAAAUUUGCACCGAAGAAGCAGGGCGAUGCUGGGAAGGAUCUCCCCACGGAAGCAAAGAAGCUUCAGCUGAAUUCUGCAGAGGAGCUCUAUGCUGAGAUCCGAGACAAAAACUUCAACGCGGUGGGCUCCGUGCUUAGCAAGAAAGCAAAGGUCAUCUCCGCAGCGUUUGAGGAAAGGCACAAUGCUAAGACGGUUGGGGAGAUCAAGCAGUUUGUUUCCCAGCUGCCCCACAUGCAGGCAGCAAGAGGCUCACUUGCAAACCACACCUCGAUUGCUGAGUUAAUCAAAGAUGUUACCACUUCUGAAGACUUCUUUGAUAAACUAACAGUGGAGCAGGAGUUUAUGUCUGGAAUAGACACUGAUAAGGUCAAUAGUUACAUUGAAGACUGUAUUGCCCAAAAGCACCCGCUGAUCAAGGUGUUAAGGUUGGUUUGCCUCCAGUCCGUGUGCAAUAGUGGACUCAAACAAAAAGUUCUGGAUUAUUACAAAAGAGAAAUUCUCCAGACAUACGGCUAUGAGCACAUAUUGACCUUGUACAACCUAGAGAAGGCUGGCCUGCUGAAACCACAGAUGGGGGGCAGAAACAAUUACCCAACAAUCCGGAAAACGCUACGCCUCUGGAUGGAUGAUGUGAACGAACAGAAUCCCACGGACAUAUCGUAUGUGUACAGUGGUUAUGCCCCUCUCAGCGUGCGGCUGGCGCAGCUGCUCUCGCGGCCUGGCUGGCGCAGUAUCGAGGAAGUUCUCCGCAUACUCCCAGGGCCCCACUUUGAAGAACGGCAGCCGUUGCCCACGGGACUGCAAAAGAAACGUCAACCAGGAGAAAACCGAGUCACUCUGAUAUUUUUCCUUGGGGGCGUAACCUUUGCUGAAAUCGCGGCCUUGAGAUUUCUCUCCCAGCUGGAAGAUGGAGGUACAGAAUAUGUCAUUGCCACCACUAAGCUAAUGAAUGGGGCCAGCUGGAUAGAGUCUCUAAUGGAAAAACCUUUCUAGGCUGAUCAAAGUCGACUUGAACGAACUGCAAAAUAAACUGCUCCUUUGGAGAAGCUGCCAAAAGGAAGUGAAACCCCACUGAAGAGUAACAGAAGAAUACAGAAUUUACUUCAGGGAGUAUGGCACAUUAUAUUUGGUGUCCUCAGCCUCUGUCUUAGGUGAUCACUAAGGCAAGUGUUGAUUCCUUCUGCUUUCAAUUCCUCUGCUUCUGUAAAGCAAGAGGGGUGGAAGGACUUCUUUCUCCAAAUCAAAGUUCAUCUGACCAGCUAAAUUUCCAUGGGUCUCAUACUUAUCAAGGGCUUUUUACAUUGAGGAACGUGAGGAUUGGGGAGCAGCUUCCUGAGAAUUUUCUUAAACACUAUUCAAAGACACUUUCUGAGCAUACGUGCUGUUCACUCCACGACGUUUCCAUGGCAGAUGCCUCCACUGAGGCGUCGGUUUUCUUCCCCACCCAUCAUGGGCCCCAGCACCAGCUGGUCCCACCGUGAACAGCAAUGACUCUUGCUUCUUCAGCAUUUGGCGACACCACCUCCACAGUAACUGUCGCAUGUACUUCUCCACACUCAGCCUCUUGUAUUUGUUUUGCUUGGAAACAUACUGCUCCAUUGCAGUCCCUGGUCCGGUGACCUCAGCCUUCUCUGGGACAGCUCAUCGAUGGUCUUGGAGUCCAGCAGUUGCAGCUGCUCCUGCAGGAGACGGUUAGCCUGUGGGACAGAGGAGCAGGGUAUUGGUCGAGAGUCUGGAAACCUGCGUGUGUUCCCUACCUCCCUCCUGCUUCAUCCUAAUAUCUGGAAGUUAAAUCCAAGAAGGGGACCAAAUGGAUGGCUUCGUAGCCCUUGCCCAAGAUUCCCCUUUGUUGGGGGAUCAAGGUCAGCAUCCCUCCUCAGGGGAGGUGUGGCCUCUGUUGUUUAUCAGUAACCACACGUUUUAUUCUCAUUUUGUUUCGUGAGUGAAUUUCUGGUAGCACAUUGCAUGCUAUGAGUGAAAGAGAAAUUCUACAAUCAAAAAAAGCUUUCUUUAAGAGUGAGGAGUAGAAGAGGUCAUAUUUAAGAGAUCUGCUUCUCAUGCAUUCAAUUUGGCCUUGACAUUCAGUAUUUGGAAAAUGGUCUUUAAAAAAACUAUGCCUAUUUUAGAAAAUCCUUUUUUAAAUACUUGUUAUCCCAGGGAGAUUAGUUUAUACCUUCCAGCCCCAGCUGUUGUCAGCCUCAGCCGCCUAGAGAAUGAAAUCCACCUUGUCCCUCAAAUGUUUUUGGCUCAUGGGAUUCAAUUCAAGUCUGGUCAGGUCUCCUUGGCUGGGGUUUUUGUCCUAUGAACAGAUACUCAGUUGUGUCUCACGUGUCUACAUUCACUUGGGAAUUUAUACUUGCUUGCUCAGAGCAUAGUUAGGUCAGCUCCUAAAAUGCAUUUAGCAGAAGACUUUAAAAACAUCAAUUGCUUCAUUUGUAUGCAAAUAGAAAGUGGUGGAUAAUUAUAUAUUAUACGCCUUUGUGUAAGUUCACUUAAUACUUGAAGCAGCCUUUGUCUCGAAGGAGUAUGCCCUUACUGAGAAAGGGUAUGUGAAUGGUACAUUUAUUCCUAGAGAGGGCGGAUUGUUUACAUCAUGUCUGGACUUUUGUCUAGUUAGGUAGACAGUUCUGCCACACCGGCAACUCCAUAAAAAAGAAGUCUAUGUAGAUAAAGAAGUCUACAUAGGCACUGUUCUGUGUCUUACUAUACACUUUUGAAUUUAGCCAACAGAGAAGUAUUUGAAUUGUAGUUUAACUGUAGAGCAAGAGAAUACAGGCAUACAGAGAGAUAUUGUGGCUUUGGUUCCAGACCACCCCGAUAAAGUGAACGUUGCAAUAAAGCGAGUCAAAUGCAUGUUUUGGUUUCCCAGUGCAUAUAAAAAUUAUGUUUACACUAUCCUGUAGUCUCCUAAGUGUGCAAUAGCAUU